rnacentral:rRNA from 1 species
GAUGAACGCUGGCGGCGUGCCUAAUACAUGCAAGUCGAGCGAACAGAUGAGGAGCUUGCUCCUCUGACGUUAGCGGCGGACGGGUGAGUAACACGUGGAUAACCUACCUAUAAGACUGGGAUAACUUCGGGAAACCGGAGCUAAUACCGGAUAAUAUAUUGAACCGCAUGGUUCAAUAGUGAAAGACGGUUUUGCUGUCACUUAUAGAUGGAUCCGCGCCGCAUUAGCUAGUUGGUAAGGUAACGGCUUACCCAGGCAACGAUGCGUAGCCGACCUGAGAGGGUGAUCGGCCACACGGGAACUGAGACACGGUCCAGACUCCUAGGGGAGGCAGCAGUAGGGAAUCUUCCGCAAUGGGCGAAAGCCUGACGGAGCAACGCCGCGUGAGUGAUGAAGGUCUUCGGAUCGUAAAACUCUGUUAUUAGGGAAGAACAAAUGUGUAAGUAACUAUGCACGUCUUGACGGUACCUAAUCAGAAAGCCACGGCUAACUACGUG